GGGGCAUUCGUCUAGCGGCCUAGGACAUCGCCCUCUCAAGGCGAAGACCGCGGGUUCAAAUCCCGCAUGCCCUA
rnacentral:tRNA from 1 species